rnacentral:rRNA from 1 species
CAGGCCUAACACAUGCAAGUCGAGCGGCAGCGGGACCUUCGGGUCGCCGGCGAGCGGCGGACGGGUGAGUAAUGCGUGGGAACGUGCCCUUUGGUACGGAACAACUGAGGGAAACUUCAGCUAAUACCGUAUGUGCCCUUCGGGGGAAAGAUUUAUCGCCAUUGGAGCGGCCCGCGUUAGAUUAGCUAGUUGGUAGGGUAACGGCCUACCAAGGCGACGAUCUAUAGCUGGUCUGAGAGGAUGAUCAGCCACACUGGGACUGAGGCACGGCCCAGACUCCUACGGGAGGCAGCAGUAGGGAAGUUUGCGCAAUGGGCGAAAGCCUGACGCAGCCAUGCCGCGUGAAUGAUGAAGGUCUUAGGAUUGUAAAAUUCUUUCACCGGGGACGAUAAUGACGGUACCCGGAGAAGAAGCCCCGGCUAACUUCGUGCCAGCCGCCGCCGUAACAC